rnacentral:rRNA from 1 species
CAACUUUCAGCAACGGAUCUCUUGGCUCUCGCAUCGAUGAAGAACGCAGCGAAAUGCGAUAAGUAAUGUGAAUUGCAGAAUUCAGUGAAUCAUCGAAUCUUUGAACGCACCUUGCGCCCCUUGGCUAUUCCGAAGGGCAUGCCUGUUUGAGUAUCA